AUGCUUGUAGGACAAUUGGCACUGACUUCUCCCCUGCUGGACUGUGCAAAAGAGACCCUGACCAAUCCGGAAACCAAACUCCAAAAAGAGAAAGAUCUCUGUGCCAAUAGUCAACAUCUGCAUGAAUUUCCACUAAUUCUCAUUUUCGGAAUCACUACAUCUCCUAUUACCAUCCAUCGAUUGCUUCCUCAUGCAGUAUCAUCUCUGUUGUGCAUAGAACUGUUCCAAUCUUUGCCUUGCAGGGAGCACCUGACUACAGUACUCGAUAAGCUAUUUCUUACUACUCAGUUUCCCUUUCAAAUAAAUGAAAAAGUAUUACAGGUUCUGACCAAUAUCUUUUUGUAUCAUGAUUUCUCAAUUCAAAACUUUAUAAAAGGACUUCAGCUUUCUCUAUUAGAGCAUUUCUAUUCCCAGCCCUUAAGUGUACUGUGCUGUAAUCUUCCAGAAGCCAAAAGAAAAAUAAAUUUUUUGUCAAAUAAUCAAUGUGAAAAUAUUCAGCAUCUUCCAUCUCCUAGGAGGUACGUGGAAAAGUAAGCUUUAGAAAAGCAAGUGGCACUCUUGACCAAGGGAAAUGUUUGAAGGAGAAAACACAAUUAUUACUAGAAAACUUGCAUGUUUAUCAUAUGAAUUACUUCCUGGUUUUGAGAUGUCUUCAUAAGUUUACCUAUUCUCUUCCCAAGUAUCCACUGGACUGACAGAUCAGAGAGUUCUACUGCACAUGUUUAGAAAAGAACAUAUGGGAUUCAGAGGAGUAUGCAUCAGUCUUGCAACUGCUGAGGAUGUUGGCAAAGGAUGAAUUGAUGACCAUACUUGAGAAAUGUUUCAAGGUUUUUAAGUCUUGUGAAAAGCACCCUGCCAGCACAGCUAAGAGAACAGAGGAGUUCCUGGCCCAGUUUCAGAACCUCAAUUAAACCAAAGAGGAAGAAGGUGCUUUUGGGUCACAGCCAAAGGGGCUUCAGAAGACAGACCUCUAUCAUCUUCAGAAGUCCUUAUUGGAAAUGAAGGAGUUAAGAAGAAGUACGAAGCCAACCAAAUUUGAAGUACUCAGAGAAAAUGAGGUGAACUUCAUUGUCUGUCUAGUGAGAGAAUACCUUCUGCCUCCUGAGACACAGCAUCUCCAUGAGGUGGUGUACUUCAGCGCUGCCCAUGCCCUUUGUGAGCAUUUAAAUGCUGCUCUGUGAAUUGCCCUCCAUACUGCACUCAACAAUCCUUACUAUUAUCUAAAGAAUGAAGCACUGAAAAGUGAAGAAGGCUGCAUUCCAAAUUUCACCCCAGACAUCUGCAUAGCAUUUAAACUGCACCUAGAAUGUAGCAGGCUAACCAACCUUGAGGACUGGUCAGAGGCUUUCGCAACAGUUGUGACAGCUGCUGAAAAAAUGGAUGCAAAUUCUGCAACCUCAGAAGAAAUGAAUAAAAUUAUCCAUGCUCUGUUUAUUAGAGCUGUUUCUGAACUAGAACUUUUAGGAUUUAUAAAACCUACCAAACAGAAGACUGACCAUGUGGCAAGGCUAACAUGGGGAGGCUGCUAGAAAGCAAAUGAGCAAAGCCAGAACUAUCGCAUUUAGCUUAAGAGAAAAAGUGACCUGUCCUAUUUACAUAUACUACAGGAGACUGUUUUGGUGAGAAGAUAAAUGUGUAAUCCUCAUGUGAUGUUUAACCAGAAAAGUAGAUUGCUAACCCCAAAUAGGAAUAUACCAAAACACCUGUGGAGUACUUUAGAAUCCAACAAACAAUACAUAACUAAAAUUGCUCACACAUUUUACUGUACUUUCCACAAAGUCAUUACUAAAUUGUGAGUAAAUCAUUCUUGAACUUAUAGUAUAUUAAUGUAAUAAAUUCCUUUAUCCAGG